rnacentral:piRNA from 1 species
GCCUAUUAAGGCGUGAAGCGCUGUAUAU